CUGGCUCAGAGCGAAUGCUGGCGGCGUGCCUAAUACAUGCAAGUCGAACGAGAACAUUNUCCUUCGGGAAAUAAGUAAAGUGGCGCACGGGUGAGUAACACGUGGGUAAUCUACCUUUUCGUGAAGAAUAACUCUUGGAAACGAGGGCUAAUACUUCAUAGUUUACUAUUUUUUGCGAACUAUAGUAAUAAAGAGGGCCUCUACUUGUAAGCUCUUGCGAAAAGAUGAGCCUGCGGGCCAUUAGGUAGUUGGUAGGGUAAAGGCCUACCAAGCCAACGAUGGCUAGCUGGUCUGAGAGGAUGAUCAGCCACACUGGAACUGAAACACGGUCCAGACUCCUACGGGAGGCAGCAGUAGGGAAUAUUGCGCAAUGGGCGAAAGCCUGACGCAGCGACGUCGUGUGGGGGAUGAAGGGUUUUGGCUCGUAAACCCCUGUCAGGAGGGACGAUGGAUUUAUUAGUUAAUACCUAAUAAAUUUGACGGUACCUCCAGAGGAAGCACCGGCUAACUACGUGCCAGCAGCCGCGGUAACACGUAGGGUGCGAGCGUUGCUCGGAAUUAUUGGGCGUAAAGAGUGAGUAGGCGGGUUAGUAAGUCAGAAGUGAAAGCCUAAAGCUCAACUUUAGAAGUGCUUUUGAUACUGCUAAUCUAGAUUCCAGGAGAGGGAAGCAGAAUUUCAGGUGUAGGGGUGAAAUCCGUAGAUAUCUGGAAGAAUACCGGAGGCGAAGGCGGCUUCCUGGACUGGUAAUGACGCUCAGACACGAAAGCGUGGGUAGCAAACAGGAUUAGAUACCCUGGUAGUCCACGCCCUAAACGAUGAUUACUAGAUGUGGUGGGUGUUGA
rnacentral:rRNA from 1 species